GACAGAGGGUGCAAACGUUGUUCGGAAUUACUGGGCGUAAAGCGUGUGUAGGCGGCCAAGUAAGUUGGAUGUGAAAGCCCGGGGCUCAACCCCGGAAGUGCAUUCAAUACUGCAUGGCUUGAGUAUCGGAGAGGUUGGUGGAAUUCUCGGUGUAGAGGUGAAAUUCGUAGAUAUCGAGAGGAACACCGGUGGCGAAGGCGGCCAACUGGACGAAUACUGACGCUGAGACACGAAAGCGUGGGGAGCAAACAGG
rnacentral:rRNA from 1 species